UAAAAUGUACACCACUUUCUGUGUCAUGUUAUAUCAACUGAAACAUACUGUCUUUUUAUUCACAGCUGUCUUGCUUCUCUGUUCAGCCUUGAAUGUAUUUUACGUCCUUUCAGUUGAUAGCUUUGUGAAAGUUUUAAGUGGUUUUUUACACGGCUGCCAGCCCCCUUUUGAAGAAGUUUAGCUCCUCUUUGUUCAGUUUCCAGCUGCAAUGCCACCCGGGAAGUCCUUGUGUGUGGCCAGGCUACCGCUGCACUCAUCACACUUUCCAGAUCUCGGCACUCUUUGUGCCCUGGCCCGUGAUCUCUGUUUGUGGGCUUUAUCUGCUAUAAUCACCUUGCACAUUUAUGGCUCAGUAGAAUAAAACCUCUGGCAGCUUGUUUUCUUGAAGGAGCAUGCUCAGCCUGACAGAAUGUGAGUUCACUGAUCCACGCUUCUCUCAGUUUUCUGGAACACUACAGCACAGAGCCUUUCAUUAAAUCCUUUGCUUUUUCUUGUAAACGUAAAUGAAAAUUUAACCCAGUAUUCUUUCCAAGCCUCUGAUAACUGGAGGAAGGAUAACUUUGAGGAAAAUGAGCUUUUGGUAAUAGAAUUGCCAACGCGAGCACACGCUGUGUGACCAUCUCAACAUGAACCCACCUGAUCAACAAGCCUGGUGGUGCUCUGCACUCUGGUGCUGUGCAGGUGCAGGGUCCCAUGCCCUCCACAGAUGAUGGAUGAGUUACUCAAGUGGGGGCAGGAUUUUCCUGAGUAGUUCCUACUGAUUAAUUCUGCUCUCUCUAAAGACUUCAACAGCAAAAUUCCCUGUGAUUUCAGUGGUAAAUGCUUGUAAAAUCCCACCGUGCUCUAAGGCAGAGGGUCAUGUGGGAGAGAGCGUGGCAGCUAUUUUCUACAUGAAGAGGGAAAGGAAGAUAAAGGAAAAUUUUGGCUCUCAUUUUAAGAGAAAUUGACGUAGGCAACAUGAAUGUAGCAGGGUGUCCAUUGAUAGCGUAACUCAGAUCAAUAAGAAUAUAAGUGCAUGCACUGCACCAAGUCUUUGAAUUUUUUGUCUCACAUAAUUAAAUAUGCAUGCGCAAUUAAAGCAUAGAGUUAUGAAGCCUAGUCUGUGUUAAAGUGGGACUUGAUUCAACCUUGCAUCUUUAGUAGAAGUUGUGUACCAGGCUAUGUAGAAAACAAUUUAAAAGCUAGCCACCAUCUCAUAGCAGAGUGCAUUUGAGUAAAGGGAACAAAAUGCAUUUUCAGAUGCUUUUAAUUUCCCUAAAUACUCUCAUUGUCAGGCAGGAGGACUUUAUCUCACCUUUAGCUGAACCAGACUCUCUGGGAUCUUUUUAUAUGUGCGGCAAGAAAUCUGAGCUUAAAUACGUUUACUUUUGGAGGAGAUAAAUAUUUGCCCAGAAGUAAAUACCUUUCCUUUAAAUAUAAAUGCAGCCAGGGUGAACGGUUCAGAGGUGGAUGUAUAUAUUUUAAAUUACUGUAUCUGAUCAUAUGACACCCAGCCAUGGUGUCCCAGUUAUGUCCCAUAAAAGCAGACUUUGUGUCUUUAAUUUUUAAAGAUCUUUUAAAUAACCAGGUCUAAUGACGUUAAAGUUUUGCAUGAAAAAUAUAUAAUUUCAGCCUCCUUUUAAAAGCAGAGGUCUUUAGAAAUUUUUGCACCUGUAACUCGCAAUAACAGCUUAUUUGUACAGAAUUUAUUCAUUUUACAUCCUGCCUAGGAACACACAGUAACCAUAGGGUAUUUAAAAACAAAGUGGGAAUGGGAAGUUAGUUUCCUAAGUAUAUAUAUAAUAACUUGAUUCCCAAACUUGUUCUCUGUACUUAAAUACAAGAUAAGUGACUAAAUAUGGAAUCAGGAAUCUACGACAGACUUCUAAAUAUUACACAGGCUUAACCUUAUGAUUACAGAAUAGAUCAGUACAGUAAAAGUGGGAGUUCUGUCCCUUUUUUGUUAUGUUACCUUGACCUGGGAGUGCAGAUGCUAUGGCCUAAAAGAAAAAAAAAAGCCUGUUUUUUACAGCCAGAAAAAAACAAGAGUGAUCCAAUCUUUAUGUGUUCACCCUACAGCUCAUUCAGUGCUUCUUCAUGCAGAGCCUGGGGAAGACAUGGCUCCCGUCUCUGCUGUCCCCUCUGACAGCUGCUGGGACGUGAUUAGGAUGUUGCCUUCUGUUGGGGAGACGAAUGGGCAAUUCAAAGCACUGCCACUCAUUUCACAAGCUCAAGAUCUCAGCCAGCUGGUGUCCAGGGCAUGGAUUCGCACUGGUGCCUUACCAGUGCAUUUCUCCAUGCUCCAUUCGCAGCUUCCUGGCUCGCGCCUCCUCCCCUAAUUUCCUGCAAAGCAUCUGGCAGCAGCUUCUUACCACAUAUUGGAAGUGUACUCCCAUAGUCACACAUUCUUCCUUUUGUUUAGUCUGAAGUAUUUUUUGUGUGUAUUAAAAACUUCCUGAGCUGCCUUUAUGAAUCUGGAUAAAAUACAUGCUCAGUAAAUGCAAAAUGUCAGCGAAUGGUAAAACAGUGUUUAUAACUAGGCUACUGACCAAUCGUUAAAGAGCAAAACAUUGAGUUAUAGAGCUGUUGUAGCUUUACAAAGGGUACAGUGUCUGAACAAAGAAAUCAAUAUGUCACAAUUUUUAAUUACUUGGCACCUAUUUAUUUCCAGAGAUGGUCUUGUUUCAGGUCUUGACGUGCAUCACUGGUCAAACACAAAAUGGACCCAAGGAUGACCACAGGUUCCUGUUUCACAGGGCUCAGUACGCUACAUGCAAAUAUCCCAUGCAUCAGCUCUUUCAGAUACCUGCCACAAUGUGUCCGUUAGAAGCUAAAGUGCCACAGAACUAAAAACAUGCAAUUCACUGCAGACAAUUUGGUUCACCAGGGCUGAGAAAGGGAACGAGUUCCAACUCCUCUGAUGUAGACUGAAUUUGUGGUCUCAAUCUCAUCCCUGGUGAAAAGAUAUUUAUUUGUCUGUCUGUCUAUCUAUCUAUCUAUUUGUGUUUUUUAAAAAACUAUUACUGAAAAGUGAGUCACACAAGAAGGUAAUAAGUGGUGCAGAGGCUGAAGCAGCAUCUCUCCCCAAGGGAGAUCCGCGCAGAGUGUUUUGGGGCAGGUCAGAGAGGUGCUGCUGUGUUGCCUUGCUGCUGGCUGCAUCACCCUCUGGUCAGCUGUCAGCAGGGUUGAUUCAGUUUUUCCUGACCAUACCCGACAGUUAUCGAUACAAUCACAUAUUGCUUACUUGUUAAGUACUCAGUUUGCUCAUAAGCACAGCCAAGCUGCGCCUGAGUACAUCUGGAAAGCCUGAAUACAUUUUCUCCAGCUGCAGGUUUCAAGUGAUGAUUCCUUGCUUUAGAGUCGCCUUUUACACACACUCAGCUAUUUGGUCAAAUGCGUACUCAUGCAAUAUGCAAACCUGAAAUUAAAGGCAAAGGAUUUAAAAUGCGAGUAUUUAAAAUGCAUGGUUCCUCAGCAUAUGAUAAUGGUACUUUAAGCAUCAGCAUUCCUUCUGCUGAAAAUGCCUUCAUCUUCCCUCCUCUCUGCCCCUGGGGCUGCACACUCCCUCAUGUCCCAGUGCUCUGUCCCCCACAGUGAGCCCCUGGGCUCCCCACGCAUCCUCUCACUGCGCCAGGGCCUGCAUCCUCCCUCCCUCUCUCCUGCUCUCCCCCUUGAGUCCUCCCAAACACUGAUACAUUUUUAGAUUCCUUCAGAUCUGAUGGUGAUCCAAGACUGUUGGACAAAGAAGACCUGGAAAUGCUGCAUGUAAACCACACAUUUAUAAGCUCAGUCUGUUUAACCAGACUUGUUAAUUUUGCGAUAUUUGUAACAGCGCCUCACGCAGUGGGUCGCUAAAUAAGUACCAUGGGUAUUACCACCCUCAAGGUUAAAACUAAGGCUGAUCAAUCUGCAAGCAGAAAAUGAGCAUGUGCCACCGAAAGUCUCACCUGGGAGUGAGGAACUGAACGCCUGAUAUGAAAAUAAUCCUAAAUAUUUAUUGACUCCUUCUGUUCAGAUGACAGUUUUCCUAAGCUACAUUUGUUUUUCCCCUCUGAUAGACCUUAAUUCUCUCCUGCUAGGCCACUGAAAGCACUGGGUAAUAAUAAACCAAAAUGUGCUUUCUCUGGAAGCACAGUAAUUGAGAGGGAGACAAAUACAUAAGUGGCUAUCUGAGGACCAUAAAAGAGGUUCUGGCUUACCCAGCACAUAGAUUUUGCGAGAAUGGCAGUAUAUUUGCAGAGCCUAAUGAAAGUGAGCCAGGAGUGCAAUAUGAUCAGCAAGACCCAUCACCGAGGCACAGGGUAUCAGCGUAUUUACUGAAGUGGAGAAGCUAACAUUUAAAAGAAUUGUUAUUUUUAAUUAAUGCGUGAAUCACAGGUAAGAUUAUAUUUACAUAUCGAAGGAUCUCACUGUAGUGAUGGAGUACUGUACCUAACCCUGCAUGUUUAGAGGACAGUGAGACAGAGACCUGAGCCCAAGUGACCAUCUGCUGGGAGAGGGAAAAAGCCCCAGCUCCCUCCUUUGGCCUCUGCUGGCACCCUUUCACAGUCCCUGGACAUAGCUCAGUCUUCUUGCCUGCUCCUGACACUGGAGAGGGGCUGUGCUUCCCACUGCUGCCAGGUACAACCCCAGUCCCACUCCUGCUGCUGUCUUUCCCACUUGCAGCAGGACAGUGAUGCUCAGGCACCAACUGAGCUGGCUCUCUCCAGUGUUCCCACGAGUCCCACUGUGGUUUGGACCGUUUUGGACUUUCGUUUAUAAUUGGUAUCAUUCAGAGAGGAAAUUAUUUCAGAAUGGAGAAAAAAAUGACAUUUGAGACAAACUGAGCUCAUAAUAAAUCUUCCAAAAUGCCUGUAUAUCUUGCCAGCUCUUGCAAUAGUCCAGACUUAUUUCUGUUUGGAGGGAAAGGUUUUUCAAUUCCAAUUUAUAGAUGACUCAAGGUGCUAUUAGACAAACAGCAAUAAAGAACCAUUCAGAUUUCCUUCCUCCCCCCCCCCCCCCCCCCCCGUUGGUUUCACCAAGGUUCCCAAUACAAGAAGGCUACUCUGAUGCUCAGAAGUAUCUUUUUGCAUGGCUUAUUUCCUACGUCAUUUCUCUUCCCAAGGCGUGCUGAAGCUUCGGUGCCCGUCUUGCUUUGCCCCAUCACUGCACGGGUUUGCCACCUACCCUGCAUAAACAUUAAUGUUUCACUGUGGAGACACAUGGAGCUUUCAGAGGACUUUUGACAGGUGUUUCACCAGAAUCAUGAGUUUGUUCCCAAUUUAACAGAAAUGUUCAUGUGCUUAAAGCUGUGUCUGAGCUAAAGGACCUUGCUGAGCUGGCUACCUCACCCUCAGGCACCCUCAUGAUUCAUUUCCUACACAGUCCCGUGACUUCUGGUUUAUGGGCUCUCCCUCAAGUGAUACUCUGUUCUAAGCUGGGGAUCUGACAGUCACAAGCUCCCAUCUGGCUGCCCCUACCAUGGAUCCGCAUGUCCCUCUCUCUCGGCCACUGCACACAGCAGGACUCUGGUAUCCCUGCACUCAUCUGGCACCUCCCUUGGACCCCAGCCUCACCAGCGUUAAUUUCACAACACUGCAAACAACGAAAGUACUUGAUGAUGGCACUUAGAAAAGGAGGGAUUUGCAGUAGACAUGUUUCUAUGGAGUAUUAAAAAGUUUUUACUGCAAGAAGAGACCAGGAGAAUUGGUCUUAUGCAAGAACACCUUGAGGCUGCAAUCUGGACAGUUGAAUUGUUAACGCUAUUUCAUGGAGUUAAUGGCUUUUUCCUUAGUUUAAAGACAAAGGUCCUGUCUCCCUUCCUCCAAACCCCUCAAACCCAUAAGUUUAUGGUGCACUGUAUCACUUCUGUUCUUUUCUUUAUCACCAACAGAGUAGUCUAUCCCCAGACAUCAGCAUAUGAUGAUUCCUUAUGUUAUUAUUUACUGUACUCUAUGUGAAUUUCAACAAAGAAAAUGUAAGAAUACCAGGGGGAAAAAAAAAAAGGCUCUUGCUUUUUUUUCAGUGUGCCGUGAUUUCACAAAGCCAGUUUGAAGCCGAGCUGUCAGGCCGUCAUCCUGGAUCAAACUCAAUAAUCUUCCCAUCUCGAGAUUAGGCACUCAUACAGUCGCCCCUUUUUUUUCCCUUCUUCCAAGUAAACCCUGCUAUUUGCUUACAUCAUGCAUGCAUUUGUUUUCCUAAAUUGUGGCUCUGAUUUCCCAUAAGCAUAAAUGAUGCUGAGUGACCACCACAGCUCAUCACUGGUGUCAUUAAGGAUGACUCUGAACUCCACUAUGGCCCCUCAUUUCCAUUGCUGAGUGUUUUCUAUGCGUGCUUCAACAAACACGUGAUCCCAAAUCAGAUUUUUCUACAGAUAAGCAGCUGGACACUGUGCCAUUCUUACUGAUGGAAAGAAAUGUUUAGUUUGACAUAACUACCUCAACCGUUGACCACAAUGCCUGAUGAGAACCCUUCCAUUAUGUGACAUUCCUGGAGGCAUAUUCCCCCUUCAGCCAUGCAUGCAUUUUAAGAACUUCUGGGAGCUUUACCACCAGUCUGCAUACUGAUCUAUGACAAGUAAGUGUUGCUUGAACAGCUUUUGUCAGUGCUGAUUUACUCGCUUUGUUUGUUUGCUCGGUGUUUUAAUAAUAGCAUUAAAAAUCUUUGUUCCUGUUGUAUUUGACAUUGUGCCAUUGGUCCAUUAGGAUUUGGUUUAGUGUUGUGCAUUAUUUUUAAUUUGCAUUCACAGUAUGCUCGGUAAUAACUCACUCUGAAUUCUAUCAAAGGAUGCUGUGAAUUUGUAUUAACAGCAGUGCUGAUUUGUGCAAUGUGUGGUAAAAUUCUUUGCAAAAGAAUACUUACCACUUUAUGUCCUUUAGCACAGGAGAUCAAAACUUCCAAAUAACAACAGAGAUCUUUCUUAGCAAAUUGUUUAGGGGCUGAUGAUAAUGGGAAGAAUUUCAGCUUGGAUGGAAAUCAUUGACACAAACUGCUGUUGGUGCCAAAAGUUUACAUGUUCAUAAAGAAAUUAGACACAAUUAUUAAAGAAAAAAAAAUCCAUGAAAGGAGACGAAACUUGCAGAUAGCUGUGGUUCAAAAAGUCCCCAAACCACUGAUUGCUGUAAGCUGAAAAAGGAUCCUAGAGAUGGGUCACUGUACAGCUCUUCCCUAGGAGUCCGCCACUGGGCACUGUCUGAAGAACACGCUGUUCUAGUCUGUCCCAAGAUGGCCUUUCUCACAAUGUCAGGUUCAGAAGUCAUGCUGGGAGCACUUCGGAAGAAGAGGGAACAGAAAUAAAAAAAAAUCUCACUUCAGGUGAACAACUUGCAAAUUUUUGGGGAUUUCUGCAUUGAAAUCCUCCUUUGAAUCUAAUUAGAAUUCAAAUCCUCUUCCCUCCCAUCAGCUCCCUCCCAUCAGCGUCCUUUGGAAGAGCACACACACUGAACUGUACUACAGUCAUGGGCACUUCAAUGCCCGCAGUGACCUUAACUGGGUGAAGCCUUGCACGGUGGUUGGCAGUAGAGCACAAAUUUUCAGUAGUUAUUGGCCUCAAGUUUGCUUAUAUAAGAUGCAUUUUUGGCAAUGAAUGCUUAUCUGCCAUGGGGAAGGAUCAUGGUUGCUAAAGACAAGCUGGUUACUCAGUUAAACUAAACAAAGGAAUCUGGUGAAGCGCACACAAUACAUUACCCUGAGAAAUCAUAGCCAGCUUACAACAGCAAAAAUCAUUAGUUUUGUGCACAAGUCCUACUGUAAGCGUGACAUUGUAACAGAUGCUCUGCAUCUUGAAGACAUCUCUGCGUGCCCUGAAUUUUUUCACCUUGACCUUCUCUGAAAAGUAAAGAGGGCCUUAUUCAAUGGGUCAUUACUGGCACACCUGAUGAACAUCUCAAAACGGGGAUACACCUAACUGCUUUUCAACACCUAAUACUUCAGCUAGUUUUAUGCAGACCUCAAUGGACUGUCUGCUGACUGAAUAUUUAUUACAUUAUUAUUUUAAUAAGGCCAUAUUUGUCAGGAAUUGGACACAAAAUCCCAUCCUAAAAAUAUAGUGAAAAACAUUAAGCAAGACUGAAAACACAUAACAGCAAUGGCCACACACGGUAAUUCUUUGGCUUUGACUUUAUUUUUUUUUUUUUCAAAGGGUAUAGGAACACAGAGAUUUUUUUGCCAUUUUUCUUCUGUGAAAUGAUCUGGACAAAUUGAUGUCCUGGAGUUUGGCAGACAGCACCUCAGCUCUUGCUGUUUAUCAUUGUUUAAAUGACGUUGCCCAAAACUGUGGGUGGAAAUAAAUGAAUAAGUUGUGAAACAAAAUGAACCCAUGACUUUCUCUCAGUUUGAAACAUGUGUUUCAGCUACGUACUUCAAAGCCAAGAGGACGACUGAGCUACACUGACUCGGGGACUGUGCGCUGAGCCAGUCCGAUACCUGCUACCCCACAGGGCCACCAGCACACAGCUGCUUCCAGCUCCCUCCCACCUGCCCGCACAGCGCUGCUCACCUGUGGGAGAAUAAAUGCCUUAAGAAAUGAUGAGGUGUUUCCUGGUGUCCCCCAUCGCAGCAGGUGCUGCGCUGCUCCUCCGAUGGCCCACGGGCACGCUGCUCCUCCCUGUCCUACCCAAGCACUUCCCAGUCACAACACCAACUCCCUUACUGCUGCAUUUGUACAGCUGCAGCAGAGCUCUUAUUUUGAGGCUUUCCAGCCAUUGUUUGGGAACACAAGAAGAGGCUUGAGGGAACACUCGCAGAUCCAGAGAACAGGAAGGAUAAGGAUGAAUCUCCAACGGCAGCGCGUUAGCUGCCUCACGGCUGACAGUCUGCCGCGAGGUACAGCGUCUCUGCGACCCACUCUUAAUAAAGGGCGCCUAAUUAAUGGCAUCUUGUUGCCUUACGAGAUUUCUCAUAGCAAUGGCUGAAAACACCGAGCGCACAAUUAGGUAAAAAGAUGCAAAGUUACUACAGAAAUAUCUCUUUCACCACAACCACUGUCAAUGCGUUUUGUAACGAAAAGGAAAAAAAUAAACAAACAAAACCACGAAAGAAAGCAAAC